CGUGUGGGCUGAAGCAGCGGCAACCACCGACAUCCGCGAACCCUACUACGGUCCGGACACCGGAGAGGGGCCAACGUGAUGUCAUCCAGUCUUCACAGCAGCCGCCAACAGCGAGACUCAUGGACACGCUGGGGGAGAAGAUUCCUUCCCGUCCACUCCUUCCUUCCACAUAUGGAAGCUCAGGCAGAGAGAAGUCAAGUCGCUUGCCCAAGGAAUAGGAGCUCCAGAGGACUGAGCCUCGUGCCCCUAGAUGCACAGCCAGCUGGCAAGCGGCUGAGUCUUAGCACUGGAAAGGACUCA